GCGCUCACCGGCCGGUGUGCUCGCCGAGUGCGCCUCGCUGGAGACCUGCCUGGGGCCCGGGCUGCGCACCUGCCGCCCAGGAGCGACAGGGAAGGGUGGCCCGGAGACUGUUCCCUGUGGGCCCGGCUCCCUCGCCGUGGGCGCCGCUCACCCAGCGAGGCUGCACCCCGACACUAGGAAGGCCGGUGCCGGGGGAGCUGAUGCCCUCCGUGCGCGGCCCCUGCUUCCGCCCCGCGUUCUCGCGGUGCCCACGCAGCAGGGGGAAGCCACCCCAGGACCUCGUGCCUCGGGGACCCCAGGUCGGGGAGGGUUACCAGGACCAAGGUGGCAGAGGUCACUGGAAGUGAUGUUAACACCAGCUCCCUUUCUGCCCUGGUCUAGCGACUCCUUUCAUAAAACCAUCCCUGAAAUGUUAUCUGCAUUUACACCCAAACUUACUCGCUUUGAUCAUCGAAACGAAUCAACGAUUACAUUGUAUCUUCUCAGGGUCUGCGGGGCUUUCAGCUGCCUAGCCAAAAAUGCUAGAAGUGGCACCCAGCCAGGAAGCGCCUUCUGGAAAAGCUUAACGUUUUGAUGGCUAGUGCUUUUGCACCCUAAGAAAUGAUGCAACUCCAGUGUCAUAAAUACAUUCUCCUUUGUUUACUUCUGGAAGUUCUGCCACUUUAGCUUUUACAUGAAGUGGCCGGGACUUUCAGGAAUAAAGUUUGGUAAAAGCAGGAGCAGGUGUCCUUGACCUGUUCCUUGUCUCGGAAGGACAGUGGCUGUUCUUCCGCCGUAAAGUCCAGUGGGAGUUGUCGACAAUUUUCACAGAUGCCAUCUAUUAGGCGAGGGAGUUUCCUCUGAGUCCUACGUUGCACGAGCCUUGUUUUUUUCAUAAAUAGGUGCUGAAUGUGGUCAAAUGUGUUUACUCCACAAAGAGGCUGUACCUCUUUGUGUUAUAUUUAGUAGUUGCCCUAGGAGUUUAAAACAUGCAUCUUUAAUUUACUAUAACCUACUUACAGUUAACGCUGUACUGCUCCGCAUUAAGUGUAAGAACCUUGUAACUGUAACAUUCCAUUUGCAACCAUCUUUUUGCUGUUGUUGUAGGUUCUCAUUCAUAUAAACCCAAAUUGUGCGUUGUUAUAAUUCUUGCAUUAAUCAGUGUCUUAAAGAAAAUAAGAGAAGGAAAAAUAGUGUUUUAAAUUUACCUGCUCAUCCACCAUCUCUUCAUUUCUUCCUGGUGUAAUUUCUCUUCAGCCCAAGGAACCUCCUGCUGUAGUCCCUGCAGUCCACACAACGGGUGGCAGUUACCCCGGCUGUCACCGAAGUGUCCUCACUUCUCUCCUACCUUUGAAUAAUGUUUGUGCUGCACAUAAAUUUCCGGGACGGCUUUCUUUCCAAACAUAAAUUUGGUUUUGUUUCUUCCCAUCUUCAUUUUUUCUGCUGUGUAAUCAGACAUGUGUACCGUGUCCUUACUUCCCUGGCUGCUUCCAAGAUUUUAUCUUUAUCUUUGAUUUUCAAGAGUUUGACUAUGCUGUGCCUUAGUGUUUGGGGCUUUGGGGGUUUAUACUGUGUGGAAUUGGCUGAGAUUCUUGUAUCUGUAAGUUGAUCCAAAACUCAUGACAUUGGUCAUUGUUUCUUCAAAUGUUUUUUCAGCCCCUUCCUCCCUCUCAGGCACCGUUACACUAGACUUUCCAACGUGGAUCUCACCCAGUGUGUUCUUUUCUCCAGUGGGUGGAUUCCCUCUAGUUUCUGACUGCUUUGGGUGAUCUUCUGUGUCUUCAAACAGGUAUCUUCUAUUUUGUGUAGAGUUGAUCACUUUUGUCUGUGAAAAAGGCAGCUUUAUACAAGCUGCUCAGUCACUGCCCAUUCCAGCACCGCCAUUUGCUUGACAAACACCAGUCCUGCUGUGCCUGCUGCAGGGUUAGUGAAACCGCCAACCUGGCGUCCUGCUCCCCUGUGUGGCCCUGGCACACGAGAACCAGAGCUGGGGAGCCG